AACGAACGCUGGCGGCAUGCCUAACACAUGCAAGUCGAACGAGACCUUCGGGUCUAGUGGCGCACGUGUGCGUAACGCGUGGGAACCUGCCCUUAGGUUCGGAAUAACUCCCCGUAAGGGGUGCUAAUACCGGAUAAUGUCUUCGGACCAAAGAUUUAUCGCCUUUGGAUGGGCCCGCGUUGGAUUAGCUAGUUGGUAGGGUAAAAGCCUACCAAGGCGACGAUCCAUAGCUGGUCUGAGAGGAUGAUCAGCCACACUGGGACUGAGACACGGCCCAGACUCCUACGGGAGGGAGCAGUGGGGAAUAUUGGACAAUGGGCGAAAGCCUGAUCCAGCAAUGCCGCGUGAGUGAUGAAGGCCUUAGGGUUGUAAAGCCCUUUUACCCGGGAUGAUAAUGACAGUAACGGGAGAAUAAGCUCCGGCUAACUACGUG
rnacentral:rRNA from 1 species